rnacentral:tRNA from 1 species
GGUAAAAUGGCUGAGCUUAGGCGAUAAAUUGUAAAUUUAUUUACGAAAAAAAUUUCUUUUACCA